rnacentral:rRNA from 1 species
UACGGAGGGUGCAAGCGUUGCUCGGAAUUAUUGGGCGUAAAGCGCACGCAGGCGGCGUGGUAAGUCAGUUGUGAAACUCCCGGGCUUAACUUGGGAACUGCAGCUGAUACUGCCAUGCUUGAGUACGGAAGAGGGGAGUGGAAUUCCCAGUGUAGAGGUGAAAUUCGUAGAUAUUGGGAGGAACACCGGUGGCGAAGGCGGCUCCCUGGUCCGAUACUGACGCUCAUGUGCGAAGCGUGGGAGCAGACGAUGAUAA